rnacentral:rRNA from 1 species
UACGUAGGCAGCGAGCGUUGUUCGGAGUUACUGGGCGUAAAGGGUGUGUAGGCGGUUGUUUAAGUUUGGUGUGAAAUCUCCCGGCUCAACUGGGAGGGUGCGCCGGAUACUGAGCGACUAGAGUGCGGGAGAGGAAAGUGGAAUUCCUGGUGUAGCGGUGAAAUGCGUAGAUAUCAGGAGGAACACCGGUGGUGUAGACGGCUUUCUGGACCGUAACUGACGCUGAGACACGAAAGCGUGGGUAGCAAACAGG